rnacentral:rRNA from 1 species
UAGAGCUUGAUCCUGGCUCAGAUUGAACGCUGGCGGCAUGCCUUACACAUGCAAGUCGAACGGCAGCAUGGGUGCUUGCACCUGAUGGCGAGUGGCAAACGGGUGAGUAAUGCAUCGGAACGUACCCGGAAGUGGGGGAUAACGUAGCGAAAGUUACGCUAAUACCGCAUAUUCUGUGAGCAGGAAAGCGGGGGAUCGCAAGACCUCGCGCUUCCGGAGCGGCCGAUGUCGGAUUAGCUAGUUGGCGGGGUAAAGGCCCACCAAGGCAACGAUCCGUAGCGGGUCUGAGAGGAUGAUCCGCCACACUGGGACUGAGACACGGCCCAGACUCCUACGGGAGGCAGCAGUGGGGAAUUUUGGACAAUGGGCGCAAGCCUGAUCCAGCCAUGCCGCGUGAGUGAAGAAGGCCUUCGGGUUGUAAAGCUCUUUCGGCUGGGAAGAAAUCGCAUCUCCUAAUACGGGGUGUGGAUGACGGUACCAGCAUAAGAAGCACCGGCUAACUACGUGCCAGCAGCCGCGGUAAUACGUAGGGUGCGAGCGUUAAUCGGAAUUACUGGGCGUAAAGCGUGCGCAGGCGGUUUCGUAAGACAGAGGUGAAAUCCCCGGGCUCAACCUGGGAACUGCCUUUGUGACUGCGAGGCUAGAGUAUGGCAGAGGGGGGUGGAAUUCCACGUGUAGCAGUGAAAUGCGUAGAGAUGUGGAGGAACACCGAUGGCGAAAGGCAGCCCCCUGGGCCAAUACUGACGCUCAUGCACGAAAGCGUGGGGGAGCAAGCAGGAUUAGAUACCCUGGUAGUCCACGCCCUAAACGAUGUCAACUAGGUGUUGGGAGGGUUAAACCUUUUAGUACCGUAGCUAACGCGUGAAGUUGACCGCCUGGGGAGUACGGUCGCAAGGUUAAAACUCAAAGGAAUUGACGGGGACCCGCACAAGCGGUGGAUGAUGUGGAUUAAUUCGAUGCAACGCGAAAAACCUUACCUACCCUUGACAUGCCAGGAACUUGCCAGAGAUGGCUUGGUGCCCGAAAGGGAACCUGGACACAGGUGCUGCAUGGCUGUCGUCAGCUCGUGUCGUGAGAUGUUGGGUUAAGUCCCGCAACGAGCGCAACCCUUGUCAUUAGUUGCCAUCAUUUAGUUGGGCACUCUAAUGAGACUGCCGGUGACAAACCGGAGGAAGGUGGGGAUGACGUCAAGUCCUCAUGGCCCUUAUGGGUAGGGCUUCACACGUCAUACAAUGGUCGGUACAGAGGGUUGCCAAGCCGCGAGGUGGAGCCAAUCCCAGAAAGCCGAUCGUAGUCCGGAUCGUAGUCUGCAACUCGACUACGUGAAGUCGGAAUCGCUAGUAAUCGCGGAUCAGCAUGUCGCGGUGAAUACGUUCCCGGGUCUUGUACACACCGCCCGUCACACCAUGGGAGCGGGUUCUACCAGAAGCAGUUAGCCUAACCGCAAGGGGGGCGAUUGCCACGGUAGGAUUCGUGACUGGGGUGAAGUCGUAACAAGGUAACC